rnacentral:rRNA from 1 species
UCGAGAGGCUUUGGCAAUGGGGGAAACCCUGACCAAGCGACGCCGCGUGGGGGAUGAAGGCCCUUGGGUUGUAAACCCCUUUUGUCGGAGAAGAAAUGCGAUCAGGUGAACAAUCUGGUCGUUUGACGGUAUCCGACGAAUAAGCUCCGGCUAACUCCGUGCCAGCAGCCGCGGUAACACGGGGGGAGCAAGCGUUGUUCGGAAUCACUGGGCGUAAAGGGCGUGUAGGCGGUUCGGUAAGUGGAAUGUGAAAUCCCUCGGCUCACCCGAGGACCUGCAUCCCAAACUGCCGGACUAGAGUAUGGGAGAGGAUGAGGGAAUUCCUGGUGUAGCGGUGAAAUGCGUAGAUAUCAGGAGGAACACCGGUGGCGAAAGCGCUCAUCUAGCCCAAUACUGACGCUGAGGCGCGAAAGCUAGGGGAGCAAACGGGAUUAGAUACCCCCGUAGUCC